rnacentral:tRNA from 2 species
CGGGGUGUGGCUCAGUUGGUAGAGCGCGACGUUCGGGACGUUGAGGCCGCUGGUUCAAGUCCAGUCACUCCGACCA